rnacentral:lncRNA from 1 species
AUGAUGACUGCCCCAAAGCAAUAUGUGACCAGUGAACCACAGCUCUCAACUCAAGGGCAAAUGACUCAGCUUUGUGAACUGAUUGACUGGAGUAGAGAAUUCCUUGCAAAGAACUUAUAUCAUCUGGGUAUUGUGCUUGGGGCUCCUGAUGUACAGGAACACCUUUUGAGGCUUCUUGCUGUUUUGUUUGUGAGGUCUUCUAUGCCUACUGUUCCUGACGUGGAAACACUAUUCUCACAGGUUUCACUUUUCAUCAGUACUUGUGAUGGGCUUUGCCAUCAGUUAACUAAUGCAUUUGUGGAAAGAAAACAGCCCCUGAGAGGAAUUGGCAUCCUUAAAGGAGCUAUAACAAGCUGCGGAUGAAUACAAACCAGCUGACCUGAAUACAUGCUGAUUUCUGCCAGCUUUGUUUGCAGGCAACAUGCUUUAAGCCUGCCCUUCCAGCUCUUGACAUGGCUAUGAUGGAUAUCUCUAAAGAGAAUGGAGCUGCAAAGCAAUGUUUAUGUUACUCCUCUCAUGGAGGGAUGACCUGCACCGGCUGAAGAGCACUUUACCUUCUGAACAAGCUGAACCCACUCUUGCCAUGUCAGGUCGUCAUAUCAUGUUGGAAUCAUGUAAAAAGUUGAUGAUAGUUUUUUUGCUAUUACUUGUCAGAGUACAAUAGCUACCAAAUAUAGAUCUCAAAUUACUGGUAUAUUCAUUAAGCUCCUUAGCAAUGCAUAUUAUGAGUUAGCCCAAGUCUAUUCAACCAGUAAUCUCUCAGAACUCCAAAAUCUGAACCUGGUAAACAAGCACAGUGAAAUUAUUACUUAUGAUAACAAAAAAAGGCUGGUGAAGCAACGCUUGUUAUCUCUUUAUAAGAACAACACUCAGUGGCUUACAAAGACUUUUUAGCUCUAUUCUUACAAGGUAUGGCAAAACCUGUGCAGACAGCUAGACCUUAAAAGGCAGAAAAAUAUGUCAAAGCAAGAUAGAAGAUGGCAAAAUUUUUGCAAGUAUUAAGCAAAAGAAUGGUAUGGUUAGUUUUUAUAAUGGCCCUGAAAAUUAUAAUAUAUAACCCAGCCAUGCGUCAUAACACUGAUCGGGAGAUGCUGAAACAGAAAGCACUUGAUAAGCAGCUGAAAGCCGUGGACCAAGAGACUGCAGUGAAUACCCAAGGUGUAACAAGGGUAUGAGGUCACAAGAAGAGGAUUCUGUAAAAGUCUCAUUACAACUGAAGCUAA